rnacentral:lncRNA from 1 species
GUGUUGCCAUAGUUACUGCCAAAUUCUGCAAUAACUUUUGUUGCCUUGUAACUGCUGUAGUGUAUAUUUGCGUAUAAGCAGCUGAGUUUUCUCCAUUCGACCUCCCUCCCUCUUCCCAACCAGCAGCAGCAGCACCAACACCACCGUCACCUCUCCCGGCUGGACUCUGAAACCACCACACCAGCUUUCAUUAGGCCGUCCCAGAAUCAAGAGCGGAAUUAUCAGAAGCAAUUAAAACUCCACGCAACCGCGAUCAUAUUACUCAGGAAAAAGCGAAACCAGGUCAAGGUGCAAGCCGCCGGCACCCCCCAAACCCGCCGGGGCGCAGGGCCAGGGCUGUUUACAGGUUUACUCCCAGGCCUUAAAAGCUUAGGUGGUUUGUGGGAACGGGAGAAAAGCCUGAGAAGAGAAAAGCGGGCAGGCGAAGCGAUUACAUAGGCCUUUCCUCCCUCCCGGCAGGCGCGCUGCUCUCAGCAAGCAAUUAGGUAGGUCUCUACAGUAAUGCAAUUAGGAUUUAGUUAAGAAAGUCAUUACUUCUAAAAUAACUUAAGUUUAAUUUCUGCAACGCUUUAUUUGAAAAUUGUGUCACAGCAGGUCAAUUUACAGCAUGCAAUAAAGAAAACACUCCCUAUCAGCUGCUGCAAGUUAUUACAGAUUUUCGAUGUACAUUAAACGAGUGCACCCGGCCUUUCCAACGGAUACGCGCGAUCUCCAGCGACAACAGGGUCACCCAAUUUCGCGAUCAAGGCUGCUGUGCCUUCCUGGAACUCAGAACUCUCAGCUCUGCUGUGGAGCCCCAGAUGCUGCCCUACCCACCUUCUCCUUCCCACCGGCCUCAUCUUGCACCUACCCGAGCUGUACUUUGCUUCCUGCCUGCUGACGUGGCCUGCCCUCAAACUCAGGAGCGAGUACCCUAGGGGUAUUUUUACCCAUUCAUUGGCCAGGGGCUCCUUUGCUCAAUUCAGAUAGAAAUCAUGAAUAAGCAAAGUGCAAGUGCCCUAGUGUAGCUGCUCUAGUGUUACCCACUCCGAACUGUGAAUGCCAGCAGCUCUCAUCUCCUCAUGUUAGCAGCUGUCCUCACUGCUCUCCAAGCCAUGAAGCGAGCAGCUCCAGCAGCUCUCCAAGGUCUUCAGUCACUCAGAGGGAAAAGUUCUCCCUUGUUAUUGGUCACUCUCUGGUUGGAAGCCACCCACAAUGUUACCAGCUCUGGCUGCUGGCCAUUUUCGGUGCCUACUGCCUUUAGUGUUACCAGCAAAUAAUGCAGCCAGUUCAGCCUACCCUACUCCAGAUUGAAAUCACAAAUAUGCAAAAUAAAGUUCUCCA